rnacentral:rRNA from 1 species
GAUGAACGCUGGCGGCGUGCCUAAUACAUGCAAGUCGAGCGAACAGACGAGGAGCUUGCUCCUCUGACGUUAGCGGCGGACGGGUGAGUAACACGUGGAUAACCUACCUAUAAGACUGGGAUAACUUUGGGAAACCGGAGCUAAUACCGGAUAAUAUAUUGAACCGCAUGGUUCAAUAGUGAAAGACGGUUUUGCUGUCACUUAUAGAUGGAUCCGCGCCGCAUUAGCUAGUUGGUAAGGUAACGGCUUACCAAGGCGACGAUGCGUAGCCGACCUGAGAGGGGGAUCGGCCACACUGGAACUGAGACACGGUCCAGACUCCUACGGGAGGCAGCAGUAGGGAAUCUUCCGCAAUGGGCGAAAGCCUGACGGAGCAACGCCGCGUGAGUGAUGAAGGUCUUCGGAUCGUAAAACUCUGUUAUUAGGGAAGAACAAAUGUGUAAGUAACUAUGCACGUCUUGACGGUACCUAAUCAGAAAGCCACGGCUAACUACGU